CCAGCACUCGAAAGAAUGCUUGACUCAAGACAGAGCUCUGUAAACAUUUGUUCAAUGGGUGGAUGAAUGAUCAAUGGAUCACAUUGAACAUAGAAGAGUGUCAGGGAGAUAGAAUCACUUUCCCAAGAGUUAUACGGGCAGCCAAGUGACUAGAACCCCUACAUUUCAGCUGGACCCAUGGCAACCUGUAAUGAAGAUUACAUAUUCCCUCCUUCGUCUUAAGUACGGCCAUUGCUCUGCCAAUUCUGGGCCUAGCCCUUAAGAGAACAGGCAGCGUCUGCCAAGGCCUCUUGGAUCCAUGCGCUGCCACGGAAAAGGUCAAGCCACUCUGCAGAAGAGACCACCUGGAGGGGCCCCAUGACUGCCUGGCGAAGGAGAGGAACCCAUUCGAGCUCAGCGUCGCAGUCACCCCACGAAGCACUGGCCAUUCCAGGAUUGCCAUCUCCAGCCUCAGGUGAGCCCAGCCUGAACACAACCAAGUGACUAAUGCCUGUAGAUCCAUCGAAAGAUCCCCAACUUAGACCUCUCCAAAUUUCUGA